rnacentral:rRNA from 1 species
AUGUGUGCUGCAAAAAGAGUUGGUGGUCUCGGUUUCCGUGAUCCCGAGAGCUUCAACCAAGCUUUGCUUGCGAAACAGGCGUGGCGGAUUCUCAAAGAACCGAACUCACUUUGCGCAAGAGUGCUCAAAGCCCGCUAUUUCAAGGAGCAAACGAUCAUGUCGGCCACUUGCCCUUCCAACGCUUCCUACACUUUUCGCAGUGUGUUGCAUGGG